rnacentral:rRNA from 1 species
CGAGGAACCUUACCUGGGCUCAAAUGUAUGUUGACGUAUUCUGAAAGGGAUACUUCUUCGGACAAUAUACAAGGUGCUGCAUGGUUGUCGUCAGCUCGUGCCGUGAGGUGUCGGGUUAAGUCCCAUAACGAGCGCAACCCCUAUCAUUAGUUGCCAUCAGGUCAAGCUGGGGACUCUAAUGAAACUGCCUACGCAAGUAGUGAGGAAGGUGGGGAUGACGUCAAAUCAGCACGGCCCUUACGUCCAGGGCUACACACGUGCUACAAUGGCCGGUACAACGGGCAGCGAAGGAGCGAUCCGGAGCGAAUCCUAAAAGCCGGUCCCAGUUCGGAUUGCAGGCUGAAACUCGCCUACAUGAAGUUGGAGUUGCUAGUAAUCGCGAAUCAGAAUGUCGCGGUGAAUGCGUUCCCGGGUCUU